GUUUGCAUUUUGCAGAACAAAAGCAAUCUUUGGAAAUCAGUCAUUUAACUAUCAUAAUAAAGCAAUGUUAUCUUCUUUUCACAGAUGGGAGAACUGAAGGAGCAGAGUUGUGAAGUUAUCUGCUCAAAGGAGGCCAGUGACAAAUCCAGGAAUAGAAGCCAAGUCUUCUAAGUUGCAGCUUAAUGCCAUCUAAUACUGUAAUCAACAAGAAAGUUUGCCUUCUGAUGUUACAAUGAGGAUGAACCCCCAAGGCACGUCUGCAAUAGUUGUUUGAAACAAGAAACAGCCUCUUGAUGUCGUUCAUUUCACUGAUCACUGGGAAUCUGAGCCUGAAUGAAGAUUGGUUAUUCAUACUUCCUGGCAGUGGUUAUAAGAGGAGGAUGACUGAGAAUUUGGUAGCCCCUCUCACCAGCCCGACAUUUGGGUCACCUCCACACAUGCCUCCUGCCUGCAGACACCUGGUGGGAUUGACGUCAUUUGAGGCCGAGGAGAGUGGUUAG
rnacentral:lncRNA from 1 species